rnacentral:rRNA from 1 species
CUUACCCUUAGGACUUGGAUAACUCUGGGAAACUGGGGAUAAUACUGGAUAUUAGGCUAUGCCUGGAAUGGUUUGCCUUUGAAAUGUUUUUUCGCCUAAGGAUAGGUCUGCGGCUGAUUAGGUCGUUGGUGGGGUAAUGGCCCACCAAGCCGAUGAUCGGUACGGGUUGUGAGAGCAAGGGCCCGGAGAUGGAACCUGAGACAAGGUUCCAGACCCUACGGGGUGCAGCAGGCGCGAAACCUCCGCAAUGUACGAAAGUGCGACGGGGGGAUCCCAAGUGUUAUGCUUUUUUGUAUGACUUCUCAUUAGUGUAAAAAGCUUUUAGAAUAAGAGCUGGGCAAGACCGGUGCCAGCCGCCGCGGUAACACCGGCAGCUCGAGUGGUAGCUGUUUUUAUUGGGCCUAAAGCGUUCGUAGCCGGUUUGAUAAGUCUUUGGUGAAAGCUUGUAGCUUAACUAUAAGAAUUGCUGGAGAUACUAUUAGACUUG